rnacentral:tRNA from 2 species
GCACCCAUAGCUCAGCUGGAUAGAGUGUUGCCCUCCGAAGGCAAAGGUCAGAGGUUCGAAUCCUCUUGGGUGCGCCA